UUGUUCGGAAUCACUGGGCGUAAAGGGCGCGCAGGCGGCUCGGUCAGUGAAAUGUGAAAUGCCCUGGCUCAACCAGGGAACUGCAUUUCAUACUGCCGAGCUUGAGUAUAGGAGAGGAUGGGGGAAUUCCCGGUGUAGCGGUGGAAUGCAUUGAUAUCGGGAGGAACACCAGUGGCGAAGGCGCCCAUCUGGCCUAAUACUGACGCUCAGGCGCGAAAGCUAGGGGAGCAAACAGGAUUAGAUACCCUGGUAGUCCUAGCCGUAAACGGUGAGCACUAGGUGUAGGAAGUAUCGACCCUUCCUGUGCCGCAGCUAACGCAUUAAGUGCUCCGCCUGGGGAGUACGACCGCAAGGUUGAAACUCAAAGGAAUUGACGGGGGCCCGCACAAGCGGUGGAGCAUGUGGUUUAAUUCGAUGCAACGCGAAGAACCUUACCCAGACUUGACAUGUGCCGGACAGGUGUGGAAACACACCCUCCUUUCGGGGCCGGUGCACAGGUGCUGCAUGGCUGUCGUCAGCUCGUGUCGUGAGAUGUUGGGUUAAGUCCCGCAACGAGCGCAACCCUUGUCCUUAGUUGCCAGCAAGUAAAGUUGGGCACUCUAAGGAGACUGCCGUCGCUAAGGCGGAGGAAGGUGGGGAUGACGUCAAGUCCUCAUGGUCCUUACGUCUGGGGCUGCACACGUGCUACAAUGGCCGGUACAAAGGGUCGCAAUACCGCGAGGUGGAGCCAAUCCCAAAAAACCGGUCUCAGUUCGGAUUGCAGUCUGCAACUCGACUGCAUGAAGGUGAAUCGCUA
rnacentral:rRNA from 1 species